UAGUCCACGCCGUAAACGAUGAUUACUAGUUGUUUGUGAUACACAAUAAGCGACAAAGCGAAAGCAUUAAGUAGUCCACCUGGGGAGUACGUUGGCAACAAUGAAACUCAAAGGAAUUGACGGGGGCCCGCACAAGCGGAGGAACAUGUGGUUUAAUUCGAUGAUACGCGAGGAACCUUACCUGGACUUAAAUGUAUUCUGACAGGCUUAGAGAUAGGCUUUUCUUCGGACAGUAUACAAGGUGCUGCAUGGUUGUCGUCAGCUCGUGCCGUGAGGUGUCAGGUUAAGUCCUAUAACGAGCGCAACCCCUGUUGUUAGUUGCCAGCAUGUAAAGAUGGGAACUCUAACAAGACUGCCGGUGCAAACCGUGAGGAAGGUGGGGAUGACGUCAAAUCAUCACGGGCCCUUACGUCCUGGGGCUACACACGUGCUACAAUGGUAGGGUACAGAGAGCAGCCAUGUCGCGAGGGCA
rnacentral:rRNA from 1 species